rnacentral:pre_miRNA from 1 species
CAUUUACUCCCUCCGUCCGGAAAUACUUGUCGGAGAAAUGCAUAAAAAUGGAUAUAUCUAGAAUUAAAAUACGUCUAGAUACAUCCAUUCCUCCGACAAGUAUUUCCGGACGGAGGGAGUACAUG